rnacentral:tRNA from 1 species
GCCCAGAUGGCGGAGUGGUUUAACGCGCCAGACUUAAGAUCUGGUACCGAAAGGUAUCGUGGGUUCGAAUCCCACUCUGGGCUCC